rnacentral:rRNA from 1 species
CCUACGGGGGGCAGCAGUGGGGAAUAUUGGGCAAUGGGCGCAAGCCUGACCCAGCAACGCCGCGUGAAGGAAGAAGGCUUUCGGGUUGUAAACUUCUUUUGUCAGGGAAGAGUAGAAGACGGUACCUGAAGAAAAAGCAUCGGCUAACUCCGUGCCAGCAGCCGCGGUAAUACGGAGGAUGCGAGCGUUAUCCGGAUUUAUUGGGUUUAAAGGGUGCGUAGGCGGAAUAUCAAGUCAGCGGUAAAAAUUCGGGGCUCAACCCCGUCGUGCCGUUGAAACUGAUGUUCUUGAGUGGGCGAGAAGUAUGCGGAAUGCGUGGUGUAGCGGUGAAAUGCAUAGAUAUCACGCAGAACUCCGAUUGCGAAGGCAGCAUACCGGCGCCCAACUGACGCUGAAGCACGAAAGCGUGGGUAUCGAACAGGAUUAGAUACCCGUGUAGUC